CAGGACGCACUGAUUGCAUUUUUAGCAGCAAGUCCGCUGGAGGUUGCGCAAGACCUCUCCGGCCAGACCCCUGGGGCGGGCUCAGCAGUCCUCCUCCACGCUCAAGAUGCAGUUUGAUGUAUCCGUAGAGGACGCAGUUUCAAGUUUCUCCAGAUAGAGAAGCGAAAGAGGAUCCGAAACCGCGCUUCACGUCGCUCUGGCAGAAAGCAGAAGCGCGGGGUUGAGGGCGCAGACCUGGGCAGAGGAGAGGCGCGCAGGGUCACGCAUGCUCCACUGAGCCGUGGGAAGUGUCCACAGCCAGCCAUGGGAGCCCUGUGGGUUCUGAAGCUGACAUUUCUGCUUUAGGUGCCUUAAGCUGAAGAAAUGCAUAGUAGAAGGAAUUGGAGUGCAGGUGGACCUCCCUUUCUCUCCCGGCCACCGGAGGAUGUGCACGGCCCCGUGGAAGUGAGCUCCCCUAAUAAAAGCCUGGACUCAUCACACUGGCGCUUCGUGCUUCUCUCCUUGGAAUCCCAGCGGGCCCCCUUCAGGAUGAUUCAGGAAGCUGGAUUUUCUUCAAUCAAAACAAUAUAUUGCGGGGCACAGUGGCUCACACUUGUAAUCCCAGCAGUUUGGGAGGCUGAGGCGGGCGGAUCACCUGAGAUCAGGAGUUCAAGACCAGAGUGGCCAACAUGGAACUCAUAGGAGCCCUAGGGAAGGCCACAUCCCGGACCCCUAAACCCAGAGAGACAGAACGCAGACCUGGGCGGCAAGGACUCAAUGAACCCAAGUGACCUCUCCUCAUGAGCCUGCUACAGUCUCCACUUGGGAGAAGCGACGGCUUCAUCACCAUUGCAUGCGGCCCAGGUGCUGGCGUGAUGGCUCACUGCAUCUACGCCACUGGGGCCCCGCCUCUACGCACAACCACACACCCUCUCCCCUCUCCUCGCCCGAUAAAACCCUCCUGUCACUGUCCCUGGAAGAGACACUGCUUUAGAGAAUUCUCCCAGUGUCCUUACUCACGCUAAGUAAUAAAAUGCCUAUUGUUCAAAACAAACCCUGGGUUUUUUCUUGCAGGUAACAAACCCAAACUAAGGUGCUCAGGAACA